rnacentral:rRNA from 1 species
AUUGAACGCUGGCGGCAUGCCUUACACAUGCAAGUCGAACGGUAACAGGUCUUCGGAUGCUGACGAGUGGCGAACGGGUGAGUAAUACAUCGGAACGUGCCUAGUAGUGGGGGAUAACUACUCGAAAGAGUGGCUAAUACCGCAUGAGAUCUACGGAUGAAAGCAGGGGAUCGCAAGACCUUGUGCUACUAGAGCGGCCGAUGGCAGAUUAGGUAGUUGGUGGGAUAAAAGCUUACCAAGCCGACGAUCUGUGGCUGGUCUGAGAGGACGAUCAGCCACACUGGGACUGAGACACGGCCCAGACUCCUACGGGAGGCAGCAGUGGGGAAUUUUGGACAAUGGGCGCAAGCCUGAUCCAGCAAUGCCGCGUGCAGGAUGAAGGCCUUCGGGUUGUAAACUGCUUUUGUACGGAACGAAAGGCCCUGGGUUAAUACCCUGGGGUCAUGACGGUACCGUAAGAAUAAGCACCGGCUAACUACGUGCCAGCAGCCGCGGUAAAAC